rnacentral:rRNA from 1 species
AUUGAACGCUGGCGGCAUGCCUAACACAUGCAAGUCGAGCGAGCGGCGGACGGGUGAGUAAUGCCUGGGCAUUGCCCAGUCGCGGGGGAUAACAGUUGGAACCGACUGCUAAUCCCGCAUACGUUUUGAUUGCCCAGGUGGGAUUAGCUAGUUGGUGAGGUAAUGGCUCACCAAGGCGACGAGCCCUAGCUGGUCUGAGAGGAUGAUCAGCCACACUGGAACUGAGACACGGGCCAGACGCCUACGGGAGGCAGCAGUGGGGAAUAUUGCACAAUGGGGGAAAGCCUGAUGAAGCAAUGCCGCGUGAGUGAAGAAGGCCUUCGGGUUGUAAAGCACUGUCAGCGAGGAGGCGUUACUCGCAGAAGAAGCACCGGCUAACUACGUGCCAGCAGCCGCGGUAAUAC